rnacentral:rRNA from 1 species
AUUGAACGCUGGCGGCAGGCCUAACACACGCAAGUCGAGCGGAUGACGGGAGCUUGCUCCUUGAUUCAGCGGCGGACGGGUGAGUAAUGCCUAGGAAUCUGCCUGGUAGUGGGGGACAACGUUUCGAAAGGAGCGCUAAUACCGCAUACGUCCUACGGGAGAAAGCAGGGGACCUUCGGGCCUAGCGCUAUCAGAUGAGCCUAGGUCGGAUUAGCUAGUUGGUGGGGUAAUGGCUCACCAAGGCGACGAUCCGUAACUGGUCUGAGAGGAUGAUCAGUCACACUGGAACUGAGACACGGUCCAGACUCCUACGGGAGGCAGCAGUGGGGAAUAUUGGACAAUGGGCGAAAGCCUGAUCCAGCCAUGCCGCGUGUGUGAAGAAGGUCUUCGGAUUGUAAAGCACUUUAAGUUGGGAGGAAGGGCAGUAAGUUAAUACCUUGCUGUUUUGACGUUACCGACAGAAUAAGCACCGGCUAACUCUGUGCCAGCCGCCGCCGUAAAAC